AACGAACGCUGGCGGCAUGCCUAACACAUGCAAGUCGAACGAGACCUCCGGGUCUAGUGGCGCACGGGUGCGUAACGCGUGGGAAUCUGCCCUUGGGUUCGGAAUAACAGUUAGAAAUGACUGCUAAUACCGGAUGAUGUCUUCGGACCAAAGAUUUAUCGCCCAAGGAUGAGCCCGCGUCGGAUUAGCUAGUUGGUGAGGUAAAGGCUCACCAAGGCGACGGUCCGUAGCUGGUCUGAGAGGAUGAUCAGCCACACUGGGACUGAGACACGGCCCAGACUCCUACGGGAGGCAGCAGUGGGGAAUAUUGGACAAUGGGCGAAAGCCUGAUCCAGCAAUGCCGCGUGAGUGAUGAAGGCCUUAGGGUUGUAAAGCUCUUUUACCCGGGAUGAUAAUGACAGUACCGGGAGAAUAAGCCCCGGCUAACUCCGUGCCAGCCGCCGCAGUAA
rnacentral:rRNA from 1 species